UACGUAGGUGGCAAGCGUUGUCCGGAAUUAUUGGGCGUAAAGCGCGCGCAGGCGGUCCUUUAAGUCUGAUGUGAAAGCCCACGGCUCAACCGUGGAGGGUCAUUGGAAACUGGGGGACUUGAGUACAGAAGAGAAGAGUGGAAUUCCACGUGUAGCGGUGAAAUGCGUAGAGAUGUGGAGGAACCCCAGUGGCGAAGGCGACUCUUUGGUCUGUAACUGACGCUGAGGCGCGAAAGCGUGGGGAGCAAACAGG
rnacentral:rRNA from 1 species